UGAAUUUUCACGCUUUCAAAAAAAAAGAAAAAAAAUUGUAUCCAAUUUAUUUUUUUUCUUUCUUCUUUUGUAUUCGGUAUUAAAAAAAAAGAGAAAUUCAAAAAAAAAAUUCGGAAUUAAAAAAAAAGUGAUUGAAAUUCAUUUUAAGUUUUGUUUGAUAGCCUACCAUUUCCGACAUCAUUACCCACCAAGCCAACUCAAUUUUGUAAGCC
rnacentral:lncRNA from 1 species